UCCGAUUUGUCACCGGCAGUCCCCUAUGAGUCCCCGUCUUUCACGCUGGCAACAUAGGGCAGGGGUUGCGCUCGUUAUAGGACUUAACCCAACAUCUCACGACACGAGCUGACGACAGCCAUGCAGCACCUGUGUAAUUGUCUAGACCGAAGCCUAGAAGAUUGUAUUUCUACAACUGUCAAAAACAUGUCAAGCCCAGGUAAGGUUCCUCGCGUAGUGUCGAAUUAAACCACAUGUUCCACCGCUUGUGCGGGCCCCCGUCAAUUCUUUUGAGUUUUAGUCUUGCGACCGUACUCCCCAGGCGGAUCACUUAUCGCGUUAGCUACGACACUGAUUCUGCUAAGCAAAACCAACAUCAAGUGAUCAUCGUUUACAGCGUGGACUAC
rnacentral:misc_RNA from 1 species